GACGAACGCUGGCGGCGUGCCUAAUACAUGCAAGUCGAACGGUCUUUUCUAUGGAAGCUUGCUUCCGCUGAGAAGAUAGUGGCGAACGGGUGAGUAACACGUGGGUAACCUGCCCAUAAGAGGGGGAUAACAUCCGGAAACGGGUGCUAAUACCGCAUAGUUUUCUUGAUCGCAUGAUUGAGAAAGGAAAGACGGCCUUUGUGCUGUCGCUUAUGGAUGGACCCGCGGCGUAUUAGUUAGUUGGUGAGGUAACGGCUCACCAAGACGAUGAUACGUAGCCGACCUGAGAGGGUGAUCGGCCACAUUGGGACUGAGACACGGCCCAAACUCCUACGGGAGGCAGCAGUAGGGAAUCUUCCGCAAUGGACGAAAGUCUGACGGAGCAACGCCGCGUGAGUGAAGAAGGUUUUCGGAUCGUAAAACUCUGUUGUCAGAGAAGAACAAGUUGGAGAGUAACUGCUCCAGCCUUGACGGUAUCUGACCAGAAAGCCACGGCUAACUACGUGCCAGCAGCCGCGGUAAUACGUAGGUGGCAAGCGUUGUCCGGAUUUAUUGGGCGUAAAGCGAGCGCAGGCGGUUCCUUAAGUCUGAUGUGAAAGCCCACGGCUCAACCGUGGAAGGUCAUUGGAAACUGGGGAACUUGAGUGCAGAAGAGGAGAGUGGAGUUC
rnacentral:rRNA from 1 species